GGGGAUGACAUGCUUUGACAAGCUAGUCGUCGAGUUGGUGCGCUAGAGAGCUGAGAAAGCUCUUGAAACUUUCUCAAACCUAAAUGCAAAAAAUACUUUUGCAAAAAUCGUUUCUCCGUAUUUUACGGCCAACGAUUUUCAGUUCGCCUACGUUCGAGUUUAAUCUCGCGUAAUGAAUUGCGCGAAUCCGUAAGAUGUCUUGGGUAACGGAAUUCGUGUAAUCACUUAAGACUCUGUCCUGAUAUUCCUCGGAUCGGGACGAAACUAAGAGGAUAGAGAUGUGAGAGUUUUCGUUUGUUUUGUAUCUCACAUCUUGAACUCAAUGAAGCAAACUAUCUAGCGUAGAUUCCACCUCGGCUCUUUCUUGGACCUGGAUUCAAUUUCCAGCAUCUCCACUG
rnacentral:tmRNA from 2 species